AUUCACUUGACGAAUCCCAAAUAAGACGAAAUGCGCAUUCUGGAU
rfam:Trichobilharzia regenti genome assembly, scaffold: TRE_scaffold0001290